CAGGCCUAACACAUGCAAGUCGAACGCCCGAGCAAUCGGGAGUGGCAGACGGGUGAGUAACGCGUGGGAACAUACCCUUCGGUUCGGAACAACGCCGGGAAACUGGCGCUAAUACCGGAUACGGCUGAGAGGCGAAAGAUUGAUCGCCGAAGGAUUGGCCCGCGUUCGAUUAGCUAGAUGGUGCGGGUAACGGCCCACCAUGGCGACGAUCGAUAGCUGGUCUGAGAGGAUGGCCAGCCACACUGGGACUGAGACACGGCCCAGACUCCUACGGGAGGCAGCAGUGGGGAAUAUUGGACAAUGGGCGCAAGCCUGAUCCAGCCAUGCCGCGUGAGUGAUGAAGGCCUUAGGGUUGUAAAGCUCUUUUAUCCGGGACGAUAAUGACGAUACCGGAGGAAUAAGCCCCGGCUAACUUCGUGCCAGCAGCCGCGGUAAU
rnacentral:rRNA from 1 species